UGUUGACAUGCUCUACUUCCAUCCUGCCUUGGAUGAAGCGGAGAACGAUACUGCAAAGGUUGGUGGCUGUUUUGGUGGUUAGAACGAACUUUAGGUUCUCUUGGCCUCUCAUUACUUGCUUCAAUCCUUUCCAAUGUCUCUACAACUUCUUUCAUAGAUGGUCGAUGCUUGGGUUCAGAUUCAAUACAAUUUACAGCAAGCUGAGCAAUUCGGAAUGCUGCUUUUGAAGGAUAUUUCCCCUCUAACCGAGAGUCCAUAAUGCUCUUCAGCUUUCUUUUAUCAUAUAAAUAUGGUUUGAUCCAGUCAACCAGAUUAUGUCUCCCACUUGGACGGUUUGUAUCAAGUGCCCGCAAGGCAGUCAAAAUCUCGACUAGGACAACCCCAAAACCGUACACAUCACUUUUCACA
rnacentral:misc_RNA from 1 species